rnacentral:tRNA from 1 species
UCCCUGGUGGUCCAAUGGCUAAGACUCCAUGCUUCCGAUGCAGGGGACCUGGGUUCAAUCCCUGGUCAGGGAA